rnacentral:lncRNA from 1 species
AUGGUGUGUGUGACUCCUGACGCACUGGGAUGUGCUCGGCCCUCGGACCCAGCAGCCUGCACUCGCGGUAACGGCUUGCCGAGCUGCUGCGGUAUUUCAGCUCCAGAAGUCACACCUGGUGGACCGCAACCGUUACAAACUCCAAGGAAGCUGCCUGGGCUGGAUGCUCGGACAACUGCUGCCGGCUCGGGGCCUCUACCUCACUAUUCUGUUGAGAUACCAAACGGAGAGCCUUUUAUCUGAGGUCAGGUCACACAUCAGAGUCUUGGAAGAAGACUAAGCUUGGAGUAAUUUUCAGAGCGUGAUGCAUAGGCUCUCUGUGUCAGAGCCGUUUUGGAAGCUGUCAGGAUGAGGAUCCAGGAGCCCUGGCCACUGGUCAGAAUUCUGGGGCAAGGCUGGACACCUGCCAGCGCACAACCAGUCACAUGGUUCUUGCAGACAUCGCGGUUCGAGACUGUCUGGGGUAGCUGAGCCGGGUUGGGGGCCUGGGUGAGCUGGGGUGGGAGGAGGCGUUGAGGUGAGGGGGCGUGUGUUUUUGAUGGCGGUCGAGUCCUCAGGAAGCUGUUGUCCUGUCAUGUUCCUUAUGAAGAUUAUGUAAAGAAAUGAUUUGCAGUUCUGAGUCUGCAUUUGGCUGUGAUCCACGCCGAGUGGGAGGUGCCUUUUGCUGGUCAGCUAAAACAUGAAGCAGCCACUGGCAGGGGGCAGUGAGGAGCCUGGAAGUGCCAGAAGCAAGUGGAGGAAGGCUAUGGAACCAGCCGGGGCACGUCUGGUUUACCUGAAGCAACGGGUCCUGCCCAGUGCCAGGGACCACACUCCACCCUGUCAAACAGUUCACACAUCCAGGGGAGGGAGUUGGGACCCAGGCGGGAGAUGACCUGGUGAGGCAGCCUCGCUCCCGAAGCGGGCAGACGCCUUUGGACAUUGAGGGCCACUGACUUUGGACUUGGGAGGUCUUGUCAACUGCCAACUCUGGCACUUCCUCAGAAACAACUUUGCAUUUGUAGGAGCAGCUGUCUCCUCUUCCAUCCCCAUUGCAAUGGCCUUACAAAACCAGACAUACAGUGAUUUCUAGAUUAUUCACUACAAAAGCAGGCAUAAAUCUCAGCCCAGAGCUUCAGGUGUCAAGUCUUAGUUUUCUUUGU